UAUAAAAACUACCACACAUAUUUGGGCGCAGUCCAAAAGGGUGCCUAAAACCCUAGCAGCCUUCUAUCUUUCUCUGCUGUCUGUUCAUGGCAGCUACGUAGCAGGAAUGACUCAUUCCAUUUUUUUAUACAGAGAAACCGCGGUUGUGAAGAUGCGAUUUUGAGAUCAUCUUCUAUCUGAUUGAUUAUCUUUUUAGUUUUUAUCCCUUUUGUUUCAUCAACCGCGUUUCUUUGUAUAAAGAGAUGUAUUGGUCAUGAUAACUCAUUAAACAAUUACAAGUCUUUGUUGUAUAAAAGAGAUGUAUUCUAGUGAAUUUCUGAGGGCUUGCAAAGCUUGGGGUUAUAGAAUGGCAGGUUGUAAUUUUGGCUUGGCUUGUUCUGCUAUCGGGAGAGGGAGGAAAUGAAGGAAUUGCAUGUGAUGUGAUAAGUCAGUUUUACACCAAAAUGAUCUAUCAAAAAAUAUGUAGCGGAUGCAGGCACGAAAAAUUUAUUGCUUGCACACAUUGUAUUGUAUGAAAGAUUCAUUGCAAUGUAUGUAGCUGAUGGUAUGAAUGCGUAGCUUUUGCAGGCUUUACUGUGGA